AGAGAUGUAUCCUCUCCAUGAAGAGCUUCUAUGCACACCUCACAGGUGUUUGUAGUAGCGAUUUUGCGAGCGACAAAGCCUGCAAUGUAAGGCACGACAGAGCAAACGAAUGUGGAGAGGCUCUCUGGAUAGUCAAUUCGGUCUGUGUAAUCGUGGUCCUCUGGUUGUAGGAUGGCAGACCUUCGCGAUCUUCUGUUCUUGGAUGCCUCUAAUAAUUUCUUCAGCGGUGAUUUUCUUUUGUGUCAGCCUUCGCUUGUUCUGCUGCAACGUUUUAAUUUUUUUCUUCAGGUGCAAUCUUUCGUCUUCUGUUUCCUGCAACUUCGUCUUGUACCACUGCUUUGAUGGUGAUACAGUGACAUGGUCUUCGGUAUUUAAGGCCUCUUGCUGCUGAGCAGGACUGCAUCCUCGAGGUUUUGGUGCUGGCCGCUUCCUUUUCACCUGAAAUAAGCACAUAGUGGGAAUUAACUACUUCUAGAAAUAUAUAUAUAUAUAUACUUCAAUUAUUGCACAUAACAUGAAUAUAUGUAUUCACGAAAGCAUGUUCGGGAACAUUCGACAAUGAUCAUGCGCGAAUCGUGUGUGGAGCGAUAUUGUAAACGAGCGAACGGAACGAAAAGCUCGCGAAGAAACACGCAGCAAUACAGUCACGUCGACAAAACAUGAAAGAAGAGAUAUGUCUAUGUCAUUCCAGCCUCCCUGAUGUCAGAGCACUAUAUCUGCGAAGUUCCGAUGCUUACCGGUGCCUGGAGGUGGGCAGGGAAA